AGCGAACGCUGGCGGCAGGCCUAACACAUGCAAGUCGAACGAACUCUUCGGAGUUAGUGGCGGACGGGUGAGUAACACGUGGGAACGUGCCUUUAGGUUCGGAAUAACUCAGGGAAACUUGUGCUAAUACCGAAUGUGCCCUUCAGGGGAAAGAUUUAUCGCCUUUAGAGCGGCCCGCGUCUGAUUAGCUAGUUGGUGAGGUAAAGGCUCACCAAGGCGACGAUCAGUAGCUGGUCUGAGAGGAUGAUCAGCCACAUUGGGACUGAGACACGGCCCAAACUCCUACGGGAGGCAGCAGUGGGGAAUCUUGCGCAAUGGGCGAAAGCCUGACGCAGCCAUGCCGCGUGAAUGAUGAAGGUCUUAGGAUUGUAAAAUUCUUUCACCGGGGACGAUAAUGACGGUACCCGGAGAAGAAGCCCCGGCUAACUUCGUG
rnacentral:rRNA from 1 species